rnacentral:rRNA from 2 species
GCCCCCUAAAUGCGGUCGAGCGGACUAAUGGGAGCUUGCUCCCGUUAGUUAGCGGCGGACGGGUGAGUAACACGUGGGCAACCUACCUGUAAGACUGGGAUAACUUCGGGAAACCGGAGCUAAUACCGGAUGACAUAAAGGAACUCCUGUUCCUUUAUUGAAAGAUGGCUUCGGCUAUCACUUACAGAUGGGCCCGCGGCGCAUUAGCUAGUUGGUGAGGUAACGGCUCACCAAGGCGACGAUGCGUAGCCGACCUGAGAGGGUGAUCGGCCACACUGGGACUGAGACACGGCCCAGACUCCUACGGGAGGCAGCAGUAGGGAAUCUUCCGCAAUGGACGAAAGUCUGACGGAGCAACGCCGCGUGAGCGAUGAAGGCCUUCGGGUCGUAAAGCUCUGUUGUUAGGGAAGAAUAAGUGCUAGUUGAAUAAGCUGGCACCUUGACGGUACCUAACCAGAAAGCCACGGCUAACUACGUGCCAGCAGCCGCGGUAAUACGUAGGUGGCAAGCGUUGUCCGGAAUUAUUGGGCGUAAAGCGCGCGCAGGCGGUUUCUUAAGUCUGAUGUGAAAGCCCCCGGCUCAACCGGGGAGGGUCAUUGGAAACUGGGAAACUUGAGUGCAGAAGAGGAAAGUGGAAUUCCAAGUGUAGCGGUGAAAUGCGUAGAGAUUUGGAGGAACACCAGUGGCGAAGGCGACUUUCUGGUCUGUAACUGACGCUGAGGCGCGAAAGCGUGGGGAGCAAACAGGAUUAGAUACCCUGGUAGUCCACGCUGUAAACGAUGAGUGCUAAGUGUUAGAGGGUUUCCGCCCUUUAGUGCUGAAGUUAACGCAUUAAGCACUCCGCCUGGGGAGUACGGUCGCAAGACUGAAACUCAAAGGAAUUGACGGGGGCCCGCACAAGUGGUGGAGCAUGUGGUUUAAUUCGAAGCAACGCGAAGAACCUUACCAGGUCUUGACAUCCUCUGACACCCUAGAGAUAGGGCUUUCCCUUCGGGGACAGGAGUGACAGGUGUGCAUGGAUGUCGUCAGCUCGUGUCGUGAGAUGUUGGGUUAGUCCCGCAACGAGCGCACCGUGAUCUUAGUGCCAGCAUUCAGUGGGCACUCUAAGUGACUGCGGUGACAACGAAGGAAGGUGGGAUGACGUCAAUCAUCAUGGCGCUUAUGACUGCUACACGUCUACAUGCAUGGUCAG